rnacentral:rRNA from 1 species
CAGUAGCCGCGGGAAUACGAAGGGUGCAAGCGUUAAUCGGAAUUACUGGGCGUAAAGCGUGCGCAGGCGGUUUGUUAAGACAGAUGUGAAAUCCCCGGGCUCAACCUGGGAACUGCAUUUGUGACUGGCAAGCUAGAGUGUGGCAGAGGGGGGUGGAAUUCCGCGUGUAGCAGUGAAAUGCGCAGAUAUGCGGAGGAACACCGAUGGCGAAGGCAGCCCCCUGGGCCAACACUGACGCUCAUGCACGAAAGCGUGGGGAGCAAACAGGAUUAGAUACCCGUGUAGUCCCUGUCUCUUAUAC